rnacentral:lncRNA from 1 species
GAAGAUGAAGCUCUUUGUGGCUCUCAUGGUGGCAGUCGUGGCUUUCUCCGCCGUGCAGAAGGCUGCAGCUGCUGAUGCUCCUGCGCCAACCCCUGCAUCUGAUGCAGCUCUCUUUGUUCCUACCUUCUUUGCCUCUCUUGGUGCUUUGGCUCUUGGGUUUCUCUUUUGAGCAAACCAAGAAUGUCAAAGUCCUCAUUUUUAGAUAUAGAAGAACAUGGUUUCUCUGAUUCUCUCCAUUUCUCCUUGGUUCAUUAUCUGUUUUUUUUUUCUUCUCUCACCUCUGAUGGUUUCAGCCAACUACCUCUGCUGUUUGGUGCACGAGAAUGCGAGAAAAGAAGGAAACGGGAUGGAAAAAUUCUCCUCUUUUUUGUAUUAUGUUAUUUUGGAGAUGUAGUUUUAAGUUUAAUCAUUAUGAUUUUUAUUG